rnacentral:rRNA from 1 species
UGUGUCCUACGGGGGGCAGCAGUGGGGAAUAUUGCACAAUGGGGGAAACCCUGAUGCAGCAACGCCGCGUGAGUGAAGAAGUCAUUCGUGAUGUAAAGCUCUAUCAGCAGGGAAGAAAAUGACGGUACCUGAGUAAGAAGCCCCGGCUAACUACGUGCCAGCAGCCGCGGUAAUACGUAGGGAGCAAGCGUUAUCCGGAAUUAUUGGGUGUAAAGGGUGCGUAGACGGGACAGCAAGUUAGUUGUGAAAGCCCUCGGCUUAACUGAGGAACUGCAACUAAAACUAUUGUUCUUGAGUGCAGGAGG